GACGAACGCUGGCGGCGUGCCUAAUACAUGCAAGUAGGACGCUGAAGGAGGAGCUUGCUUCUCUGGAUGAGUUGCGAACGGGUGAGUAACGCGUAGGUAACCUGCCUGGUAGCGGGGGAUAACUAUUGGAAACGAUAGCUAAUACCGCAUAAUAGUAGAUGUUGCAUGACAUUUGCUUAAAAGGUGCAAUUGCAUCACUACCAGAUGGACCUGCGUUGUAUUAGCUAGUUGGUGGGGUAACGGCUCACCAAGGCGACGAUACAUAGCCGACCGGAGAGGGGGAUCGGCCAGACUGGGAGUGAGACAGGGCCCAGAGUCCUUGGGGAGGGAGCCAGAGGGAAACUGGGGCAAGGGGCGGAAGUCUGACCGAGCAACGCCGCAUGAGGGAGGAAGGUUUUCGGAUCGUAAAGCUCUGUUGUAGGGGAAGAACGAGUGUGAGAGUGGAAAGUUCACACUGUGACGGUAUCUUACCAGAAAGGGACGGCUAACUACGUG
rnacentral:rRNA from 1 species